UGCCCCACUCGGUUUAUCCGCCAUCUGGAUUAUUUACAUCUGCUGGUCAGAUUCCGAUUUUGAGCGAAUUUGAGUGGAGAUAAACUGGAAUAUGGACAGAGAAGAAGGUCACACGGGAUCUGUGGCAGUAUCAGGUCUGUCAGUGAUGCAGAGAAGGACGUGAGUCAACAAUGGGGAUUUACACAAUUUGAAGAGACAGCAAUGAGGAUGAUGCUGAGCUAUGGGACAUUACCAUUGUGAUGAAGGUCGACAAUUUUGGAAAUGCAUUCAUCAUGUUAUUUGGACUCCUUUAUGCCUUUGUUUUUAGCUUUCUGACAAAUUGAGUUUGUCCCGAAUAUCGUGAUGAAUUUGGAUGGACAAGCUAAACAGAAACAUUUUCGCAUGUGUUUGAAAGGAAGUUCCUUUGGAUGGUCUAAUUUGUCAUCUAACCGUAUCUAUUGAAUCAGUCAACAGUUGGUCAAAUUUGCACUCCUUGUCUACAUCAUUAGAAUGACAGUUUAAUAUUUUGUCUGCUUGAAUAAUUAACUGGUUGUUCAAGUUGUGACUUCUGGCCCAUCUUAUCUACUUUAUUUGGUGGGGCCAUAAAUUUGGCCCAUUUUUGAGUGGGUAAAAUGAAUGUGAAACUUUGUCACUGCUUGAAUGUUAUUGUUGAUGUCAAUAAAUGUAAUCUCUACAGAACUUUGA